rnacentral:sRNA from 1 species
GCCGGGUGUUGUGAUGCACGCCUGUAAUUCCAGGGGCUCAGGAGGCUGAAGCAGGAGGAUUGCAAGUUCCAAGUCAGUCUUAGCAACUUAGUGAGGCCCUAAGCACCUCAGUGAGACCCUGUCUCUA